rnacentral:lncRNA from 1 species
GGGUAGUAGAACAAUGGGAUUAUGCUGUCACAAAAACCAAAGAAAAAACAUAAUUUCUUAAAUCAUGGUCUGUCACUGAAUCUGGUUAUAAAACCUUAUCUUGCACUAGAAGGAUCUGUAGCUUUUCCAGCUGAGAAUGGGGUUCAGGAUACCGAAUCAACACAAGAAAAGAGAGAAACUGGGGAUGAAGAAAACUCAGCUAAAUUUCCUGUAGGAAGGAGAGAUUUUGACAUAUUCUCAGACCACUUCUACCAAAACAUAAAUCUGUGAUUGUGAUCUCUGAAAGUCAGUCCUUUUAUCUACUCAAGUAGAAAUAUGGGUAUAUAGAAAGGAAGAAAGCAAGGCUAACGGUGAGCAGUGGCUAAAUGAACAAGAGAACAUUCAUUAUGACUCAAGGCUUUGAGAAUGUAAAGAGACCACCUUCACUUGUUGAGAAAUGGUACGAUUUCACGUUAUCAGUGCAGUUCCGUUCUCGGGGGAAAGCCCAUCCGUACUACCAGGAGACUGGAUCCGCAAAGUAGACACUUGGUCUCAUGAAGCCACUGCUGGGCUCCAGAGAGAAGGGAAAACUAAGAGGUUUUAAAACCCCUACCCUCCUUGGUUUACCUCCAUCAUUAAAAAACAACAAUGACAACGACAAC